rnacentral:rRNA from 1 species
UGGGGAAUAUUGCGCAAUGGGGGGAACCCUGACGCAGCAACGCCGCGUGAUUGAAGAAGGCCUUCGGGUUGUAAAGAUCUUUAAUCGGGGACGAAACAUGACGGUACCCGAGGAAUAAGCUCCGGCUAACUACGUGCCAGCAGCCGCGGUAAUACGUAGGGAGCAAGCGUUAUCCGGAUUUACUGGGUGUAAAGGGCGUGUAGGCGGGCCUGCAAGUCAGAAGUGAAAUCUGGGGGCUUAACCCCCAAACUGCUUUUGAAACUGCGGGUCUUGAGUGAUGGAGAGGCAGGCGGAAUUCCCAGU